rnacentral:tRNA from 1 species
ACCUGGCUGGCUCAGUUGGUGGAGCGUGUGACUCUUGAUCUCAGAAUUGUGAGUUCAAGCCCCACACUGGGUG